ACCCAGGGAAGGACUUAGAACAGCUCUGUCUUCAGAGGCUCUGUGGCUAUACUGGAUAAGAAGCUGGCUGCCUCUGUGAACAUCUUACCCAAAGCAUCCUCACUGUACUUUUGGAAUGGAGAAAUAGAAGAAGCCACUCAGAUCCUGUUGUUGAUAAAGACAAAGACUUCCAAGGUACACAUGCUGUCCAGCUACAUCAGGUUGGUGCAUCCUUUUGAAAUCCCAGAGAUCUUCAGUCUUCUCAUGGACCAAGGAGAUGUGCAGUAUUUGAAGUGGCUGGAGGAGGGCAUGGAGGAGGACUGAGUGGGGGAGGCUUUUUGUGCGUCCUGCUGGCUGCCUCUAGCCUUCAUCAGCUGCACUCUGGGAAAGGGGAGGCCUCUUUCUGCCUCCUGGCAUCUCUGGAUUCCAUGUUUUUGUCAGCACAGAGGAGCUAAGUAACUUGUGAAGGCUGAAGGUCCGAGGCUCCUAAGGCUGGAAGAGGAGGCUGGGCCAGUUGGGCCAGGCAAGAACCCAGUGGAACUUUUCUCUGAGUGCUUCAUGCUUAAAGGUGGCCAGGGGGUGGGAGGGUGAUGAUGGCUGUGUGUAGGGAUCCAGGGGAGGUGGCAGUGAGGGUGAGGUUUGUCACCUUCUCCUGCAGUCACUGUGCCUACCUCGAGUGCCCAAGAUGUAAUUCCUCUCCUUCUCAGGAGGAGGAAUGGACCUCAUGACCUCUUCAGCCAGAACUGUGUGGGAUGAAUGCACCUUUUGGGAAACUGGCAAGCACUUCAUCCAAAAGGAUGAAUUCCUAAUGGUGGAAUUUCAGGGACAAGCAGGAUUAUUUCUCCAGGCGAAAGAUGGUGUUUGUUGUUCCAGAGUCUUGAGGAGGUGGGACUGGGAAUGGGCCUCAAGAGUUUGUAGGACAAGGGAAACAUUAGGGCUUAGACACAGCCUCAUGGGUUGGGAGUAGGUCUUGACUCUUCCUGGCCUGAAUGUGACAGACAGCAGAAGCUUCUGGGGCCUUUCUCAGUGGAGACACAGGUUCUGAGCCCGCCAUACUAUUUCACUUGAGCAUUGAAGCUGAACAUCCUAAAGUAGGAAAGAACCCUGGGGAAUUGCUGGACCAGUGUUUUUCAGACUUACUCCACAGAGCCCCAGGGGUUGACAGAAGGUACUCUGGGGGCUGCCUCGGUGUGCGGGUAAGGAUAUGAGGCCCCCCCACCCAUAAUUCAACCAGUACAACUGUGCUUUUAUUUAUGUAUUGAGCUCCCUUGUAAGCUUUGGGGUUUUUUUUAAAAGUUUUCUCUGUUAAAAGUUUGUGAACCAGUGGUCUAAGCCAAUCUCCAUUUUAUAGAUUCCUAAAGGAAACUGAACUGCACUGAGGUCCAGAAAGGGGGUGACGUGUUGCAUUAUGAAGGGUACAGCCAGGCCUGCUCGCCCUGUGUCUGGUGCUCUCCUAUACCUGCUCCACGGGUCUUAGGGGGAAGAGAGCAGAGAAGGCAGAGCCCUGUGGGGUGAGAAGAGAGACUUGACCAAAGGCCUCUCUGUGCCUCUAUCACAAGGUAACCCUCCUUGGGGGAGACCAUGGGCAGUUUGGGUAGGGGUCCACAGAUAUCUGUGGUAUCCUGGGCCUUUCUUCCCCGAGGGAAGGGUGUGUGGGAGGGGUUUUGCCUGGCUCUAGUUCUGACACCUCCUGUGCUUCUUGGACCUUAGUUCCUCCGAAUAUAAAAUGGGGGGGGGGGGGAUCUCCAGGGGCUCUUCUGUGAAGACCUUGUAGGGACUUUAGGCUGAGGCCCUUCCAAAGGUUCAGAGGAUCCUAUGUUGAGAGCCAGUGGGGAUUUUGGAGGACUGCCUCAGGAGAAGAAUAAAGAGAAUGAUAAUGGUGGUGUCCCUUUUUACAACAGAUGUUUGUGAUACAUAUGAAAAUCUUGUGUAAGUGUGAAAAUCUUGUGAAAACGUUCUGGGGACCCCAAAUGGACUGCCCGUUAUUGCUUUCAGGAUAAAGUCCAAUUUCUUGCUUUGGCUUUCUUUUUUCUUUUUUUGGUUUAUAACAUUGUGUGAUUUCAG
rnacentral:lncRNA from 1 species